GACGAACGCUGGCGGCGUGCAUAACACAUGCAAGUCACGGGGGCCAGCAAUGGCAACCGGCGAACGGGUGCGUAACACGUAAGCGACCUACCUCGAUGUGGGGCAUAGCCGGCCUAACGGCCGGGUAAUUCCGCAUGUGAUCCUUGAGGGGCAUAUCUCGGGGAUGAAACCAGUAAUGGGCAUUGAGAGGGGCUUGCGGCCUAUCAGCUUGUUGGCGGGGUAACGGCNCACCAAGGCGACGACGGGUAGCUGGUCUGAGAGGAUGGCCAGCCACAUUGGGACUGAGAAACGGCCCAGACUCCUACGGGAGGCAGCAGUGGGGAAUCUUGCGCAAUGGCCUAACGGCUGACGCAGCGACGCCGCGUGGGGAUGAAGCAUUUCGGUGUGUAAACCCCUGUUGCCCGGGACGAAUCCACCUUUUCGAGGGUGUUGACGGUA
rnacentral:rRNA from 1 species